UAUGAGAGUUUGAUCCUGGCUCAGGACGAACGCUGGCGGCGUGCCUAAUACAUGUAAGUCGAACGCUUCUUUCCUCCCGAGUGCUUGCACUCGAUUGGAAAGAGGAGUGGCGGACGGGUGAGUAACACGUGGGUAACCUACCCAUCAGAGGGGGAUAACACUUGGAAACAGGUGCUAAUACCGCAUAACAGUUUAUGCCGCAUGGCAUAAGAGUGAAAGGCGCUUUCGGGUGUCGCUGAUGGAUGGACCCGCGGUGCAUUAGCUAGUUGGUGAGGUAACGGCUCACCAAGGCCACGAUGCAUAGCCGACCUGAGAGGGUGAUCGGCCACACUGGGACUGAGACACGGCCCAGACUCCUACGGGAGGCAGCAGUAGGGAAUCUUCGGCAAUGGACGAAAGUCUGACCGAGCAACGCCGCGUGAGUGAAGAAGGUUUUCGGAUCGUAAAACUCUGUUGUUAGAGAAGAACAAGGACGUUAGUAACUGAACGUCCCCUGACGGUAUCUAACCAGAAAGCCACGGCUAACUACGUGCCAGCAGCCGCGGUAAUACGUAGGUGGCAAGCGUUGUCCGGAUUUAUUGGGCGUAAAGCGAGCGCAGGCGGUUUCUUAAGUCUGAUGUGAAAGCCCCCGGCUCAACCGGGGAGGGUCAUUGGAAACUGGGAGACUUGAGUGCAGAAGAGGAGAGUGGAAUUCCAUGUGUAGCGGUGAAAUGCGUAGAUAUAUGG
rnacentral:rRNA from 1 species